AUUGAACGCUGGCGGCAGGCCUAACACAUGCAAGUCGAACGAGUGGCGGACGGGUGAGUAAUGUCUGGGAAACUGCCCGAUGGAGGGGGAUAACUACUGGAAACGGUAGCUAAUACCGCAUACCAUCGGAUGUGCCCCUAUGGGAUUAGCUAGUAGGUUGGGUAAAGGCUCACCUAGGCGCCGAUCCCUAGCUGGUCUGAGAGGAUGACCAGCCACACUGGAACGGAGAAACGGUCCAGAAUCCUACGGGAGGCAGCAGUGGGGAAUAUGGCACAAUGGGCGGAAGCCUGAUGCAGCCAUGCCGCGUGUAGGAAGAAGGCCUUCGGGUUGUAAAGUACUUGCAGCGAGGAGGCGUUACGCGCAGAAGAAGCACCGGCUAACGCCGUGCCAGCAGCCGCGGUAAUUC
rnacentral:rRNA from 1 species